rnacentral:snoRNA from 1 species
GGGUCUGUGAUGACUAGCCCACUGCGCAAGCUGAUCAGAGCCCGUUACGAGCUCUGCUGGAGACAUGUGUGCUGAUCACAGCCUGAGACCC